UAGGGAAUCUUCCGCAAUGGACGAAAGUCUGACGGAGCAACGCCGCGUGAGUGAAGAAGGAUUUCGGUUCGUAAAACUCUGUUGUUAGGGAAGAAAAAAUGUAUAGUAACUAUAUACAAAAGAGACGGUACCUAACCAGAAAGCCACGGCUAACUACGUGCCAGCAGCCGCGGUAAUACGUAGGUGGCAAGCGUUGUCCGGAAUUAUUGGGCGUAAAGCGCGCGCAGGUGGUUUAGAAAGUCUGAUGUGAAAGCCCACGGCUCAACCGUGGAGGGUCAUUGGAAACUAAUAAACUUGAGUGCAGGAGAGAAAAGUGGAAUUCCUAGUGUAGCGGUGAAAUGCGUAGGGAUUAGGAGGAACGCCGGUGGCGAAAGCGGCUUUUUGGCCUGCAACUGACACUGAGGCGCGAAAGCGUGGGGAGCAAACAGG
rnacentral:rRNA from 1 species